rnacentral:misc_RNA from 1 species
UUUGUGAUCAGGCUCAGAUUGAACAUGGCGGGAUGCUUUACACAUGCAAGUCAGACGGCAGCACGGACUUCGGUCUGGUGGCGAGUGGCGAACGGGUGAGUAAUGUAUCGGAACGUGCUAGUAGCGGGGGAUAACUACGCGAAAGCGUAGCUAAUACCGCAUACGCCCUUCGGGGAAAGCGGGGGACCUUCGGGCCUCGCACUAUUAGAGCGGCCGAUAUCAGUUGCUAGUUGGUGGGGUAACGGCUCGCAAGGCGACGAUCGUAGCUGGUUUGAGAGGACGACCAACCACACUGGGACUGAGACACGGCCCAGACUCCUACAGGAGGCAGCAGUGGGGAAUUUUGGACAAUGGGGGAAACCUGAUCCAUGCAUCCCGCGUGCGAUGAAGGCCUUCGGGUUGUAAAGCACUUUUAGCGGGAAAGAAACGGCACGGGAUAUUACCCCGUGCAACUGACGGCCACCUGCAGAACCAGCACCGGCUAACUACGUGCCAGCAGCCGCGGUAAUACGUAGGGUGCAAGCGUUAAUCGGAAUUACUGGGCGUAAAGCGUGCGCAGGCGGUUCGGAAGAAGAUGUGAAAUCCCGGAAGCAACUUUGGAACUGCAUUUUUAACUACCGAGAGCCUAGAGUGUGUCAGAGGUGGAAUUCCGCGUGUAGCAGUGAAAUGCGUAGAUAUGCGGAGGAACACCGAUAGCGAAAACAGCCUCCUGGGAUAACACUGACGCUCAUGCACGAAAGCGUGGGGAGCAAACAGGAUUAGAUACCCUGGUAGUCCACGCCUAAACGAUGUCAACUAGCUGUUGGGGCCUUCGGGCCUUGGUAGCGCAAUAACGCGUGAGAUUGACCGCCUGGGAAAUACGGUCACAGAUUAAAACUCAAAGAAAUUGACGGGGACCCGCACAAGCGGUGGAUGAUGUGGAUUAAUUCGAUGCAACGCAGAAAACCUUACCUACCCUUGACAUGUCUGGAAUCCGAAGAGAUUUGGGAGUGCUCGCAAGAGAACCGGAACACAGGUGCUGCAUGGCUGUCGUCAG